rnacentral:rRNA from 1 species
CCUACGGGAGGCAGCAGUGGGGAAUAUUGGGCAAUGGGCGCAAGCCUGACCCAGCAACGCCGCGUGAAGGAAGAAGGCUUUCGGGUUGUAAACUUCUUUUCUGAGGGACGAAGAAAGUGACGGUACCUCAGGAAUAAGCUACGGCUAACUUCGUGCCAGCAGCUGCGGUAAUACGUAGGUGGCAAGCGUUAUCCGGAUUUAUUGGGUGGAAAGGGCGUGUAGGCGGGAAAGCAAGUCAGAUGUGAAAACUCAGGGCUCAACCCUGAGCCUGCAUUUGAUACUGUUUUUCUUGAGUGCUGGAGAGGCAAUCGGAAUUCCGUGUGUAGCGGUGAAAUGCGUAGAUAUACGGAGGAACACCAGAGGCGAAGGCAGAUUGCUGGACAGUAACUGACGCUGAGGCGCGAAAGCGCGGGUAGCGAACAGGAUUAGAUACCCCAGUAGUC